rnacentral:hammerhead_ribozyme from 1 species
GCACUGCUGAGGAGUCCCAUAAUAGGACGAAACAGCCGUCCUGUGU